rnacentral:rRNA from 1 species
AUACGGAGGGUGCAAGCGUUAAUCGGAAUUACUGGGCGUAAAGGGUUCGUAGGCGGUUAUUUAAGUCAGAUGUGAAAGCCCCGGGCUCAACCUGGGAAUUGCAUCUGAUACUGGGUAACUAGAGUUUAAGAGAGGAGUGUGGAAUUUCCGGUGUAGCGGUGAAAUGCAUAGAGAUCGGAAGGAACAUCAGUGGCGAAGGCGGCACUCUGGCUUAAAACUGACGCUGAGGAACGAAAGCGUGGGUAGCAAACAGGAGUAGAAACCCCUAGUAGUCC